UGCAAGUCGAGGGGCAGCGGGAUUGAAGCUUGCUUCAAUUGCCGGCGACCGGCGCACGGGUGAGUAACGCGUAUCCAACCUUCCCGCAACUGGGGAAUAACCUUGCGAAAGUAAGACUAAUACCCCAUGGUCUCCACGGAUGGCAUCUGAAAUGGAGUAAAGGUUUCGGCCGGUUGCGGAUGGGGAUGCGUCCGAUUAGCUUGACGGCGGGGUAACGGCCCACCGUGGCAUCGAUCGGUAGGGGUUCUGAGAGGAAGGUCCCCACAUUGGAACUGAGACACGGUCCAAACUCC
rnacentral:rRNA from 2 species